GAUAAGAUAUAAACAAUUUUAUAGUGUAUACAUUAUUUGAAUACUUAGAAAACAUGAAGAGUAUCAAAGGACUUCAAUUUAAUUUCUGAUCUUGUAAAAUGUCAAUUUACUUAAGGCCUUUUUGUAGCAUCUCGGAACCCCUAACAUUUUGAUACAUUGUUUCAAGUUAUAUCAUGGUUGUUACAAAACACGAUAUUAUAGAAGUUUGUACUAACAUACAGUGUUGAGAAAAGGGGAUAUUCUUUAUCUUAUUUCACAUGAAAAAGUCAAUAGAAAACCAAUUAAGUACUUAUUACGCUGGUAUGAUUAUUAAUUACAAGCAAAACAUUGUGGAAGCUUCAAAUAAAAUGGAAAAAGUACCUGACUGCUUAUAUUGUUUAUACACACCACUCUUUGCUUCGCAAGGCUGUGGAAAGUGUAAAUGUAUUUCUCAUAUUCAGUCAUAUUUUUUUUAUAUUACAUAAAUUGCACUUCAUAUGAAAUGUGGAAGUACCAUAGGGUUUUGGAUCUCAUCGUGAGUGAGUUGCGUGUCUUAAUCGGAUAACUGCUUAAUUCCACUGACCACGGGCAAUUUUCUUGAUUUAUUGAUUGAAGUAUAUUUACAAAUCAGAAUAUACAGUAUUUUCUUUGAUAUUUUUGAGCUUGUUUGUCAUAUCAUUAAUGUAAAGAAUAAUUUUGAAGACAUUCAUCCCACCGAAGUCAAUACCACGUCAUAUGACUCGGAUACGUUGGAAAUUCUUACCAUGUCGUUCUAGCAACCGCCAUGACUGACUUCAAAUCUUACUCAUAUUGAGAGAACAUGUAUUUAAUGUACUGCUGAAAAGGCACAGAAACAUUUUGUAUACCUUUACAAUGAAAAAUUGUAACAAGAAACUUAUGAUGCAAUAAAUAAUUUAUGAAAAUAUAAAUCCCCGUCUGAGACUAUGCAAAAUAUAUCUGAAAAAUAUUGGCUGGCUGGAGUGUAUCAAAAUGUUUGCCUUCAACUUAAUACAAAAUAAAAAGAUAUUUCAACAGGCUCCAAUAAUGUAUGCUUAUAGGGCAGACAUGUAUCAGAGUGUAUCAGCGUUUGGUGUUUCAGAUAUGUUACAAAAGAGGCCUUUAACGUUCGAGUUCUCAGGGUGAUUGAGACACAGGAUCAUAUGAUACUCCUUUAUCGACUCGACACCAAAGCACACAUGCGUCGCCUGAAGCGGGUUGAGUGUUGCUGGGAAAAUAUAUUGUACAGCACCCCACCCCCAAGAUACACUACAUAAUGGUAUUAUGUUGAGGAUCUUAAAUAUUUAAAUACUGGCGUGCUAAGGGAAAAGCAUGACAAAUAUACUAAAUUAAUAAUGAGAAAAAAGAAAUAUGAAUUGUCACACCAUGAAUGAUGGCAAGCAAGUUCAGAGAGGUAGAGGGAGCUGGGUGGGGGGUUGUGUUUGCGUAAGCACUCGUGAAUUUGCGUGCAUGUGAAUUCAUAAUAAAACCCCACUUUAUUAUGAAUUCUCGUUGACUAGAUUGGUGCACCCGUCGGUGGACAGCUGCUCGGAGGCGAGGCUGCCCUUGUCUGUAGUGUCUCAGCUGCACUUUGAUCCUCUGCAACGUGGCCCCAUACUGGAAGGGGGAUAGUUCCAACCAACCUGUGAGCUUGUUUGCAUAGGACAAAUAGCGACCCACAGUGGCAAUAGACCCUGAACAAGAGGGAUAUGCAGAUUGCUAGCCUCGCCGACGGCGCCGUUUACAACCGGGAUCCAGCAUUUGGAUUCAAAAUCAGGUUACGAAGGUAAGGAGGCAGUCGGGCACCGUGGUCCGCCCAUAUCGCCGGUAAACUGAAAGGCUCGACUGAAGUGGCCGCAUAUCUCUACGCAGUCACCCCAAAGAAGCAUUAUCGCCACGGGACCCUUCUGGCAAACAGCACAGCAAAUGUAUCCCGAGUCACCUCCCACGCUGCCCCGGAGGUAGACGUCGCGCCCGGGUUGGAUGAACAAUUAUGUACCUUAGUGUUCAAUUAGUUCUUGAUUUAUUGUGAAUUUCUAUGUUUUGUAACUACUUUCGGGAUUCAGAUUAUUUUUUCUGUUUAUUUUGUAAGGAUAGAAUUGGCCAAUGCCCUUUUUAUCUUUGAGGGGGGCGGGGGGGAUUUGGGAGUUUCUGACUAAUCGGCAACUCAGGUGCAAUUUGAAGCAACCGCUGGUAAUUAAGACCCGGUCAGACGGUGCUAGUUAAAUACGGCAAAUUAGUAAAAUAAAGCUCUGACUAGCAAACUGUGUUCUGUCUUUCCAUCGGAACUAUUAAAACAAUUAACAAAGC
rnacentral:lncRNA from 1 species